rnacentral:lncRNA from 1 species
UCCUUGAAAAUUCACCCUUCGGGAUUCACCUCUCAAAUUUCACCUGUCGGGAUUCACCCUUCAAAAUUCACCUGUCGGGAUUCACCUGUUGGGAUUCACCUGUCAUGAUUCGCCCUUCAGGAUUCGCCCUUCAGGAUUCACCUCCCAAAAUUCACCUGUCAGGAUUCACAUUUCCAAUUUCACCUGUUGGGAUUCGCCCUUCAAAAUUCACCUGUCGGGAUUCGCCCUUCAGGAUUCACCUCCCAAAAUUCGCCUGUCGGGAUUCGCCUGUCAGGAUUCGCCCUUCAAAAUUCACCUGUCGGGAUUCGCCCUUCAGGAUUCGCCUGUCAGGAUUCACCUCCCAAAAUUCACCUGUCGGGAUUCACCUCCCAAAAUUCACCUGUCGGGAUUCACCUCUCAAAAUUCACCUGUCGGGAUUCGCCCUUCAAGAUUCACCUCUCAAAAUUCACCCCUAA